GCGACUUGGGAUGCAAGGUUUAUCUCGCUCUCUCAUCAUAAUAAAUGAUAAGUACAACUUUAGCUGUUACUUCUCACCUAACAAGGAGGUCGACAUGCAGCUUCCAUCGCCUUGUGUGUUCAUCCUACUUGUCAAAGGCACCAUUUUCUGCAUCCUGUGGCCGUUGCAUGGAGCAGAGUGCCAUG